rnacentral:misc_RNA from 1 species
UUGCGGCUGGAUCCCCUCCUUUCUAAGGAUUUUUACAUGACGUACGUUUUGACACUUUGUUCAGUUUUGAGAGUUCAAUCUCUCAAUUAUAGAAAGCACACUACUUUCUUCUUAUUUGAUAAGAAGAAUUUUGGUUGCGAUUGUUCUUUGAAAACUAGAUAACAGUAAUUGCUGAGGAAAAGUGAAACUUUUCUUUAAUCAAAUCAAUAAAUAACACAACAUUAUGUUGUACCAUUUAUUCGCUAAUGGUUAAGUUAGAAAGGGCGCACGGUGAAUGCCUUGGCACUAGGAGCCGAUGAAGGACGGGACUAACACCGAUAUGCUUCGGGGAGCUGUAAGUGAGCUUUGAUCCGGAGAUUUCCGAAUGGGGAAACCCGGA